rnacentral:rRNA from 1 species
GACGAACGCUGGCGGCGUGCUUAACACAUGCAAGUCGAACGGAAAGGCCCUUCGGGGUCCUCGAGUGGCGAACGGGUGAGUAACACGUGGGUGAUCUGCCCUGCACUUUGGGAUAAGCCUGGGAAACUGGGUCUAAUACCGAAUAGGACCACGCGCUUCAUGGUGUGUGGUGGCAAGCUUUUGCGGUGUGGGAUGGGCCCGCGGCCUAUCAGCUUGUUGGUGGGGUAAUGGCCUACCAAGGCGACGACGGGUAGCCGGCCUGAGAGGGUGACCGGCCACACUGGGACUGAGAUACGGCCCAGACUCCUUCGGGAGGCAGCGGUGGAGAAUAUUGCACAAUGGGCGCAAGCCUGAUGCAACGACGCCGCGUGAGGGAUGACGGCCUUCGGGUUGUAAACCUCUUUCAAUAGGGACGAAGCGCAAGUGACGGUACCUAGAGAAGAAGCACCGGCCAACUACGUG